ACAGUACAAACUGAACAGACUGUGAUACUUAUCAUGAAGUCGGGUCACUUAGUGACAGUGGAAAAUGACACAUCCACGGGACAGU
rnacentral:ncRNA from 1 species